ensembl:lncRNA TPT1-AS1 TPT1 antisense RNA 1
ACGGGGCCGCCUGGAGAGGUGCUGGGAGCUGGGUGGAGCUUAGAGGAAUUAAACUUUGGCCCUGCGCCUCGUCCAGCCUAGGUUCCACCCUUUUCUGGGAACGCUGGAGUGCAGUGGCACCAUCUCGGCUCACUGCAACCUCUGGCUCCCAGGUUCAAGCGAUUCUCCUGCCUCAGCCCCCUGAGUAGCUGGGAUUACAGGCACGCGCCACCACUCCCAGUUUACACCCCGCCACUCCUGAGCACCGCACACCGGCUUCCUCCCAGUCCCUCAUCUGAGAACUCAUGAAGCCACUUGGAAUCCCUCUCUGCUUUGCCUGGCUCAUUCCAUGUCAAUUUCAGAUCUUCACUUCAGGUCAGCUCCAAGGAGGCUAUCCUUGCCCAUCUUCCUAAAAUAGAGCUCUCAAAACCUGGCUGUUUUCCUUCAGAGCACUGGCCUCCAAUUGCUCCGGUAGAUUGCAAAUGACCUGCUUUCUUUCUGUUCCCGGGCGUUUGGACCCCUGUCUUGGACCGCUGUCGGAUAGUAAAUCCCAAGUAAGGUACCUGCCGUCGGCAGAUUUGAGCUUUCUUCUUGGACACCUAAUACCCAGAGUCCUCCAGGCUCCGGUAGAUUGCAAAUGACCUGCUUUCUUUCUGUUCCCGGGCGGCAUCGGACCCGUCGGAGAGUAAAUCCCAAGUAAGGUACCUGCCGUUGGCAGAUUUGAGCUUUCUUCUUGGACACCUAAUACCCACAGUCCUCCAGUAAAUCCCAAGCAAGGUACCUGCCGUCAGCAGAUUUGAGCUUUCUUCUUGGACACCUAAUACCCACAGUCCUCCAGUAACUCCCAAGUAAGGUACCUGCCGUCGGCAGAUUGGAGCUUUCUUCUUGGAGACCUAAUACCCACAGUCCUCCAGAAAAACAAACAAAGACAUGGAUUUACUGUGCAUAUUAGCAGAUCCAUACUGGAAAAUGCAUGGAGGUUUCAUAUACACCACUUACAGGUUUCCAAAGCCACAAUUUCCUUCAUAUGUUCAAACUCUUCAGGAUGCAGAAAGGCAGUGAACUCCUCCGGAGUAGCUGUCAGGUCACCAUUGAGGUCUGCAGCUUUGAAUCUUCUCUCAUCACGUGGCAGCAUCUUUUUAAAGGUUUUCAGCUCCUCAGUAGUGACAAAGCCAUACCCAUCAUUGUCGAUUCGAUCAACAAUCUUCCCUAGCCUCUCCUUGCUCUCGUCCGGGGUGAGCUCGUCGAAGUUCUUGGAGUCCUCCUUGCCCAGGAAGGCCUCGUGGUCGUACUGGAAGCUCUGGUUGUCCUCAGGGGGCCGCUCGCCCAGCUCCGAGUCGGGCCGCACCACGCGCUCUUUGCGCACCGUGGGCUUGGCCCGCAGAACCCGCGGCGCCAGCACCAGCGCCAGCAGCAGCCCCAGGGCUAACCCCAGGCGGCCACCGCGCGCCAUCGUCCCGAGGAGAGGGCGGCCGGGAGGGAGACGCUGAGCGAGCGACAACAGCGGCAGCUCGGGAAUGGGGGCUCGGAGCGCGGCGGCCAAGUUUUAUGUUAUGUAUAUUUUACAAGUAAAAAAAUUUUUUCACCUCAGCCUGAACUGAACACUAGCUGACAGACGUUUUGAUUUCUUUGACCAUCACGGAAUCGUGGCCAAGCGCGGUG